rnacentral:rRNA from 1 species
UACGUAGGGGCCUAGCGUUGUCCGGAUUUAUUGGGCGUAAAGAGCUCGUAGGUGGUUUGUCGCGUCUGCCGUGAAAAUCCGGGGCUCAACCCCGGACUUGCGGUGGGUACGGGCAGACUAGAGUGUGGUAGGGGAGACUGGAAUUCCUGGUGUAGCGGUGAAAUGCGCAGAUAUCAGGAGGAACACCGAUGGCGAAGGCAGGUCUCUGGGCCACUACUGACGCUGAGAAGCGAAAGCGUGGGGAGCGAACAGG